UACGGGAGGCAGCAGUAGGGAAUCUUCCGCAAUGGACGAAAGUCUGACGGAGCAACGCCGCGUGAACGAUGAAGGCUUUCGGGUCGUAAAGUUCUGUUGUUAGGGAAGAACAAGUACCAGAGUAACUGCUGGUACCUUGACGGUACCUAACCAGAAAGCCACGGCUAACUACGUGCCAGCAGCCGCGGUAAUACGUAGGUGGCAAGCGUUGUCCGGAAUUAUUGGGCGUAAAGCGCGCGCAGGUGGUUCUUUAAGUCUGAUGUGAAAGCCCACGGCUCAACCGUGGAGGGUCAUUGGAAACUGGGGAACUUGAGUGCAGAAGAGGAAAGUGGAAUUCCACGUGUAGCGGUGAAAUGCGUAGAGAUGUGGAGGAACACCAGUGGCGAAGGCGACUUUUCUGGUCUGUAACUGACACUGAGGCGCGAAAGCGUGGGGAGCGAACGAGGGAUUAGGAUACC
rnacentral:rRNA from 1 species